UACGUAGGGUGCAAGCGUUUAAUCGGAAUUACUGGGCGUAAAGCGUGCGCAGGCGGUUUUGUAAGUUUGUCGUGAAAUCCCCCGGGCUCAACCUGGGAAUGGCGAUGAAGACUGCAAGGCUAGAAUCUGGCAGAGGGGGGUAGAAUUCCACGUGUAGCAGUGAAAUGCGUAGAGAUGUGGAGGAACACCGAUGGCGAAGGCAGCCCCCUGGGUCAAGAUUGACGCUCAUGCACGAAAGCGUGGGGGAGCAAACAGG
rnacentral:rRNA from 1 species